GACGAACGCUGGCGGCGUGCUUAACACAUGCAAGUCGAACGAUGAAGCCUAGCUUGCUAGGUGGAUUAGUGGCGAACGGGUGAGUAAUACGUGAGUGACCUACCUUUGACUCUGGGAUAAGCCUGGGAAAUUGGGUCUAAUACCGGAUACGACCAAUCUCCGCAUGGGGUGUUGGUGGAAAGCGUUAUGGAGUGGUUUUAGAUGGGCUCACGGCCUAUCAGCUUGUUGGUGAGGUAAUGGCUUACCAAGGCGACGACGGGUAGCCGGCCUGAGAGGGUGACCGGCCACACUGGGACUGAGACACGGCCCAGACUCCUACGGGAGGCAGCAGUGGGGAAUAUUGCACAAUGGGCGCAAGCCUGAUGCAGCGACGCCGCGUGAGGGAUGACGGCCUUCGGGUUGUAAACCUCUGUUAGCAUCGAAGAAGCGAAAGUGACGGUAGGUGCAGAGAAAGCGCCGGCUAACUACGUGCCAGCAGCCGCGGUAGUACGUAGGGCGCGAGCGUUGUCCGGAAUUAUUGGGCGUAAAGAGCUUGUAGGCGGUUGGUCGCGUCUGCUGUGAAAGGCUGGGGCUUAACCCUGGUUUUGCAGUGGGUACGGGCUAACUAGAGUGCAGUAGGGGAGACUGGAAUUCCUGGUGUAGCGGUGGAAUGCGCAGAUAUCAGGAGGAACACCGAUGGCGAAGGCAGGUCUCUGGGCUGUAACUGACGCUGAGAAGCGAAAGCAUGGGGAGCGAACAGGAUUAGAUACCCUGGUAGUCCAUGCCGUAAACGUUGGGCACUAGGUGUGGGGGACAUUCCACGUUUUCCGCGCCGUAGCUAACGCAUUAAAUUGCCCCCCCUGGGGAGUAGGGCCGCAAGGCUAAAACUCAAAGAAAUUGACGGGGGCCCGCACAAGCGGCGGAGCAUGCGGAUUAAUUCGAUGCAACGCGAAGAACCUUACCAAGGCUUGACAUAUACUGGACUGCGUCAGAGAUGGCGUUUCCCUUCGGGGCUGGUAUACAGGUGGUGCAUGGUUGUCGUCAGCUCGUGUCGUGAGAUGUUGGGUUAAGUCCCGCAACGAGCGCAACCCUCGUUCUAUGUUGCCAGCACGUGAUGGUGGGGACUCAUAGGAGACUGCCGGGGUUAACUCGGAGGAAGGUGGGGAUGACGUCAAAUCAUCAUGCCCCUUAUGUCUUGGGCUUCACGCAUGCUACAAUGGCCGGUACAGAGGGUUGCGGUACUGUGAGGUGGAGCUAAUCCCUAAAAGCCGGUCUCAGUUCGGAUUGGGGUCUGCAACUCGACCCCAUGAAGUCGGAGUCGCUAGUAAUCGCAGAUCAGCAACGCUGCGGUGAAUACGUUCCCGGGCCU
rnacentral:rRNA from 1 species